GUCAUUGCUAUGAAUCACCGCCUUUCUCCUCCAAUUACAAUAUCCACCGCCUCAUCCGAACAUUCUCCAUCUUUAUUUUUUUGGCAUGAGGUCGUCGACGAAGAUGAGCGGCGAUUAGAGGUCGUCACCGUUUGCUAUCGACAUCUUGACUUCACCCGCUCUUCGAGACCGUCCUGUUAAGUCGAAGCAAGUCACUUGGGGUAGUUCCAUGCGUCAUAUGUGCGUUUUCUCCUCUCUUGACGACUUCUGGAGGCUUCGUUUGUAUUCCAGUUGCCUUGGAGAGGGAUACAUCGAUUUCUAGGGUUUCUGCAGAUCUGAAUCAUGUUCUCCGGUGAACUAACGGAAUUGUUCCACCAUCUUCUACACCGGUACGUCUUUUCUAUCUAUACUCUAUUUUCUCAAUUUUGUGGCUGCGGUUUUUCGAUUUUCCGGUCGUCGUACCUUUUCGCAACAAUCUGAAUUCUUAAAUCAACUUGGAAUUGAAGCACGACAGUGGAAGUCGUUAUAGAGUUUUUAUUUGAUCAUUGUUGUAGAGAGGUUCUACUGUUGGAUAUGUAUACUAUAAGAAAAUUGGUUGUAUAAUGGAUUCCUCUCGGUCUUUAGAAACAACAAUUUCAAUGAAUUUUCUGUAUUUGCAGUAUUUGUUAUGAAUAUUUAUGUAGUUUGAAGCAUUUUAUAUAAUCUUCCAAAACCCUAAGGAAGCAGGAUGGGCUGAUGGUUGUCAUAUUGUUGCUUGCACUCAAUCAAGACGGUUGGCGGUGCAGAAAGAAUGGGAGUCAAACAUGGAGAGGAAGUUGGUUAUACUAUUCAAUUUAAAGAUGUCGCAAAUUCAGUGAAAGUUUAUCUAAAGCUCAAUAAAUGAUACAAUUUGUGCAAUUAUCCUUGGUCUAAACAUAAGAAAUUACAGGUUCGCCUUGCACCGACGACUGAGAAACACAACCUUCUUCAGAUGAGGCAUGUAGCUGCAUAUAUUUACAAGAAGCCUGGUAGAUAGAACCAUUCAAUUGCAUUGUCUAAGAAAGACAAGCUUUACAAGGAUGCCAUGGAGACAACCUCACAAUCCAGUAACCGUCAGUUAGCAGAAGAAUUGCUCCUUUAUUUCAUCGAUCAGGUACAAACCUAUUAGUUGCGGUGGGUUUUAUAUUGAAUAUGAUGGUAUUUGUGAGGGCCAAUUGGUGAACUCAAUGUGUUAUAAUAAUAUAAUUGAGGUUAUGCAUCAUUACAGAAAAAAAAAAGGAAUGUUUUUCUUCGUGUCUGUUUGUUAUGAUCUAAUCCGUCCAGAUUUUGCUCUUGAGUUGGCCUAGUUGAACAAUAUGAUCGACAUUACUCUCCCAUAACUGCUUCAGGUAUAUUUUUUAUGGUGGGUAAAUACCAUUUACUCUCUAAGAAUGAUGAUUGAACUUUUUAUAUAUAAAUUGUUAAAUGACACUUCUGAAGUUAUUACAGCUCAUUAUAGCUUUCUUUUAAAUGACACUUCUACAACUCAUUAUAGCUUCCUUUUAAUUUUUAGGAAAUGUAGUUAUUACAGGUUUCUUCCUUAUAUUUCUUAAUUUACAAUAAUUAAUUACAUUUUUGGUCUCUUUAGUUUUUAAUUUAAAAAAUGAAUGAAUUACACUAUUGAUACCUCUCUUUUUUGUAUUAAUUACAAUUUUGUCCCUGUAAUUUUUAGUGACACAUUGAAUGCGCUUCUGUAGUUGAAUUUUUCAGGUUGGAUUGCCCCUAGACUCAAAGAAACUGUCUGACUCCCCAGAUUACAAAUACAAAAGCUUUUUAUAUUCUUCGGUAUAUCCACAAUGUUGUCAUCUAUUAUCAUUCCAUUUGUCUUUCUUUUUUUUAGCCUCUUUUUGUGCCAUAUGAUCACAAAAAUAUGACGUUAGCCGGACUACAUUCACAGAAAAUGAGAUUCAUGCUUCAAACAUUGAACGACCUUCAUUGUGUAGGGAAAAGACUUUAGCAUCAAGCCAUUUCAACAAAAAAAAAAAAAAAGACAGUCAUUUCCAUUCCAUAUUUUUACUAUUCUCCUCAUAAUGUGGCACUGGUUCCUGUAUUCACAAUGUACGUUUUUUUACUGAAUAGAUUGUCUUAAUGAGAGUAAACGACUUCUUACCCA